UCCAGGUGCGGUGGCUCACGCCUGUAAUCCCAGCAAUUUGGGAGGCUGAGAGGGGUGGAUCACCUGAGGUCAGGAGUUCAAGCCCAGCCUCACCGACAUGGAGAAACCCCAUCUCCACUAAAAAUACAAAAAAUUAGCCGGGCAUGGUGGUGCANNNNNNNNNNUGCACCACCAUGCCCGGCUAAUUUUUUGUAUUUUUAGUGGAGAUGGGGUUUCUCCAUGUCGGUGAGGCUGGGCUUGAACUCCUGACCUCAGGUGAUCCACCCCUCUCAG
rnacentral:SRP_RNA from 1 species